UAAUCGAAUAACGAAUACUCGAAAAAUGUAUGUCAUGCCAAGUCAAAUUAAUUAUUAUCAGUUUCAACAGUGUUAAUUUAUUAAGAAAAAAAAAAUUUUAAUUCAAGAAACUAACUAUUUAUCCCGCAGUGCUGGUUAAACCGCUUAACCCGCGUAUUUUCAAAAAGUAUUAUUGAAUAAACUUUACAAAUAUCCCUGGCUAUACCAUUCCUGCUAUUUUCACGAAUAACCAUUAUAAAUCUCGUUCUCCGUUAGCGGACGGCUGAAGUAUGACAGAGUGGCGGAAACAUACGCGACAUUUUAUGCAAAUUUAAAACUCAAUUCCGAUAUUAAUGGUCCGAUUAGACCGAGACUUCUAAAUCGGAUUUCAAAUCAUUAAAUAAUCAUAAAUGAAUAACGCAUUGAAGUCCGUAGGACGAGUAUUUAUCGAGAUAAAUAAAAAGUUUUAAAAACUAACUGUAGAUAAAUAUGAUUAUCCAGGUUAUCUAACGGCAGCGAAGAACAUCGCCCGCCAAGAAAACUUGGUCCGGGCUUUCGACUUUUGUUAUCAUUACCUACUUUUUAAAAUUAGAUACCUGUAUCAAUUAUCAUUUAUUGUUUUCUAUGUCUUUCUGUGUUAAACAACAACUUUCAUUUAUACUGUUUUUUUUUUUUUUUUUAAAGUAAUUUCUAUUAUGGGCAGCUUCUUCAGUUGUUUCAAGCUGUCUCCCAACGGUGACAACAGCAAAGAAAUAUUCAACGAAUGUAUCGAGGCCGAACCUUGGUAUUUUGCAAAAUUAAAAGAUACGAUGCCGAGAAACUACUGCUUUUGCCAAUCAAUGAUCACGGAGCAUUUUUAAUUAGAGAUUCUGAAAGUACAAGGCAUAAUUACUCUUUGUCUGUUCGCCAUGGUAAUACUGUUAAUCAUUAUCGAAUCAAACGAUUAGAUGGACGUGGAUUCCUCAUUGUUCGGCAUACCUUUAGAACUCUAUAUGAAUUUGUAGAGUACCAUAUGUACUUAUGUAAGCCUUGUGUACGGGGUUGAAAUCAGUAACUGGUGGUUUGUCCAUGGAAAGAAAAUAAGACAUGGAUAGUUUGGUGAAGUUUGGACUGGUAAAUUUAAAUUAUAUUUAACAUAACAAGUACUAACUAAGUUUAGAUAUGGGACUUGGUUUAAAACUCCAACAUAUGGCAGUUCUGAACCUUAAACCUCAAAAUUAUAUUAAUUGUGAUCUGGCUGCUCUUGUUUGAGUGAAUAAUUUUGUAAAAAUUGAAUAUUUUUGCUCAUUUAUGGGUUUUACAGUACUAAUAACUGUAAAGUAUGUUGUAAAAUAUUAGAUAUAUU